AAAGCCAAUGUUAGCGCUAGAGAAAACCUAAAAAGUCAUUUAAACCAUUUAAAUGAAAUUAACUCCCUUAUUUUCCAGAGGAAACUGCAGCCUGGAGAAGUGAAGGAAAUAACACAUUGCGGACCGGGAGUUGUGUUGCUGGCUUUGCCCAGUGGCCAGAACACUUAUCUUGGAGACUCUGCCUCCAUGUUUUGAGGCAGCCCAAACUAGCCCACAUGAAGAGACACUGUGGAUAGGCCCGAAUGGGGAGGAACUGAGGCCCUGCUGACAGCAAGCAUCAACUACCAGGUAGACGAGUAAGCAUCCUUCAGACGAUCCCACCUCCAGAUGCUGCACAGCAGAGACAAGCUGCCCUGAUGUGCUGUUUGAAUUCUGAACCAUGGCACCAAUGGGCAUAGUAAAUGGCUUUUACUUUUCUAA